GACAGAGGAGGCAAGCGUUAUCCGGAAUUAUUGGGCGUAAAGCGUCCGUAGGGGGUUUGACAAGUCUGGGGUUAAAGCACGGCGCCCAACUCCGGAUCGGCCCUGGAAACUGUCAGACUUGAGUAAGGUAGGAGUUGCGGGAAUUCCCGGUGUAGCGGUGAAAUGCGUAGAUAUCGGGAAGAACACCAGCGGCGAAAGCGCGCAACUGGGCCAUUACUGACACUGAGGGACGAAAGCUAGGGGAGCGAAUGUG
rnacentral:rRNA from 1 species